rnacentral:lncRNA from 1 species
AAAACGGAGGAGGAAGGUUUGGCGAAAGCCUGCGAAGAAAAGCGUGGUGCCGCGCAAGAUGGGCUUAGUGGCGAUGGUGGCUACGAGAUGGCGCCAGAGUAGCGCGAGUCGCCUGUUCACCAAAGCGGUGCAUGAGCGGAGGUC